UGGGGAAUCUUGCACAAUGGGGGAAACCCUGAUGCAGCGACGCCGCGUGAACGAAGAAGGUAUUCGUAUCGUAAAGUUCUGUCCUAUGGGAAGAUAAUGACAGUACCAUAGAAGAAAGCUCCGGCUAAAUACGUGCCAGCAGCCGCGGUAAUACGUAUGGAGCGAGCGUUGUCCGGAAUUAUUGGGCGUAAAGGGUACGCAGGCGGUUUAAUAAGUCGAAUGUUAAAGAUCGGGGCUCAACCCCGUAAAGCAUUGGAAACUGAUAAACUUGAGUAGUGGAGAGGAAAGUGGAAUUCCUAGUGUAGUGGUGAAAUACGUAGAUAUUAGGAGGAAUACCAGUAGCGAAGGCGACUUUCUGGACACAAACUGACGCUGAGGUACGAAAGCGUGGGGAGCAAACAGG
rnacentral:rRNA from 1 species